rnacentral:rRNA from 1 species
AGUGAACGCUGGCGGUAGGCCUAACACAUGCAAGUCGAACGGCAGCACAGUAAGAGCUUGCUCUUACGGGUGGCGAGUGGCGGACGGGUGAGGAAUACAUCGGAAUCUACUUUUUCGUGGGGGAUAACGUAGGGAAACAUACGCUAAUACCGCAUACGACCUACGGGUGAAAGCAGGGGAUCUUCGGACCUUGCGCGAUUGAAUGAGCCGAUGUCGGAUUAGCUAGUUGGCGGGGUAAAGGCCCACCAAGGCGACGAUCCGUAGCUGGUCUGAGAGGAUGAUCAGCCACACUGGAACUGAGACACGGUCCAGACUCCUACGGGAGGCAGCAGUGGGGAAUAUUGGACAAUGGGCGCAAGCCUGAUCCAGCCAUACCGCGUGGGUGAAGAAGGCCUUCGGGUUGUAAAGCCCUUUUGUUGGGAAAGAAAAGCAGCAGGUUAAUACCCCGCUGUCCUGACGGUACCCAAAGAAUAAGCACCGGCUAACUUCGUG